rnacentral:siRNA from 1 species
ACCGCUACCACCCGCAAACGCUGC